rnacentral:rRNA from 1 species
UGGGGAAUAUUGCACAAUGGACGGAAGUCUGAUGCAGCGACGCCGCGUGGGGGAUGAAGGCUUUCGGGUUGUAAACUCCUUUCAGUACAGAAGAAGCUUUAUUGUGACGGUAUGUGCAGAAGAAGCGCCGGCUAACUACGUGCCAGCAGCCGCGGUAAUACGUAGGGCGCGAGCGUUGUCCGGAAUUAUUGGGCGUAAAGAGCUCGUAGGCGGUUUGUCGCGUCUGCUGUGAAAGACCGGGGCUUAACUCCGGGGCUGCAGUGGGUACGGGCAGGCUGGAGUGCGGUAGGGGUAACCGGAAUUCCUGGGGUAGCGGUGGAAUGCGCAGAUAUCAGGAGGAACACCGAUGGCGAAGGCAGGUUACUGGGCCGUUACUGACGCUGGGGAGCGAAAGCAGGGGGAGCGAACAGG